UACGGGGGGGGCAAGCGUUGUUCGGAAUUACUGGGCGUAAAGGGCUCGUAGGCGGCCAACUAAGUCGGAUGUGAAAUCCCCAGGCUUAACCUGGGAACUGCAUCCGAUACUGGAUGGCUUGAAUCCGGGAGAGGGAUGCAGAAUUCCAGGUGUAGCGGUGAAAUGCGUAGAUAUCUGGAGGAAUACCGGUGGCGAAGGCGGCAUCCUGGACCGGCAUUGACGCUGAGGAGCGAAAGCCAGGGGAGCAAACGGGAU
rnacentral:rRNA from 1 species